UACAGAGGUCUCAAGCGUUGUUCGGAUUUAUUGGGGCGUAAAGGGUGCGUAGGCGGCGCGGUAAGUCGGGGUGUGAAAUCUCGGGGCUUAACUCCGAAACUGCAUUCGAUACUGCCGUGCUUGAGGACUGGAGAGGAGACUGGAAUUUACGGUGUAGCGGUGAAAAUGCGUAGAUAUCUGGAGGAAUACCGGGUGGCGAAGGCGGCAUCC
rnacentral:rRNA from 1 species